UACGAAGGGGGCUAGCGUUGCUCGGAAUGACUGGGCGUAAAGGGCGCGUAGGCGGAUGGCACAGUCAGAUGUGAAAUUCUCGGGCUUAACCUGGGGGCUGCAUUUGAUACGUGUGAUCUAGAGUGAGGAAGAGGGUCGUGGAAUUCCCAGUGUAGAGGUGAAAUUCGUAGAUAUUGGGAAGAACACCGGUGGCGAAGGCGGCGACCUGGUCCUUGACUGACGCUGAGGCGCGAAAGCGUGGGGAGCAAACAGG
rnacentral:rRNA from 1 species